GUGGGGAAUAUUGGACAAUGGGCGAAAGCCUGAUCCAGCCAUGCCGCGUGUGUGAAGAAGGUCUUCGGAUUGUAAAGCACUUUAAGUUGGGAGGAAGGGCAGUAAGUUAAUACCUUGCUGUUUUGACGUUACCGACAGAAUAAGCACCGGCUAACUUCGUGCCAGCAGCCGCGGUAAUACGAAGGGUGCAAGCGUUAAUCGGAAUUACUGGGCGUAACGCGCGCGUAGGUGGUUUUGUAAGUUGGAGGUGAAAUCCCCGGGCGCAACCUGGGAACUGCCUCCAAAACUGCAUGACUAGAGUACGGUAGAGGGUAGUGGAAUUUCCUGUGUAGCGGUGAAAUGCGUAGAUAUAGGAAGGAACACCAGUGGCGAAGGCGACUACCUGGACUGAUACUGACACUGAGGUGCGAAAGCGUGGGGAGCAAACAGGAUUAGAAACCCUGGUAGUCC
rnacentral:rRNA from 1 species